AUCGCUUCUCGGCCUUUUGGCUAAGAUCAAGUGUAGACAUGUCUCUCCCUGAUAAUACAGAUUAUAAUAUUGAUAAGUAUUGUAAUUACAUUGAUAAGUAUCAUAAUUAUAAUAACUAUAA
rnacentral:snRNA from 1 species